rnacentral:misc_RNA from 1 species
GUAGGUGAACCUGCGGAAGGAUCAUUAAAAGAGUUAGGCCCCCCCUGUGGGGCCGAUCCUCCAACCCUCUGUCGUCCAAACCAAGUUGCUUCGGCGGAAGAGAGCCGCCCGGGUCUUCACCGGCCGGGGCGGCCUCCGCCGCCGGAGGCCAAACAAACUCUUGUGUGAACAUAUGCAUCCGAGUAAACAAUCAAUGAAACAAAAACUUUCAACAACGGAUCUCUUGGUUCUG